CAACCCUUAAGCCUCUGUUGCUUAGCGUUGGGGGCCUACCACGGUAGCCCCUGAAAGCCAUUGGCGGAGUCGGUCGCACACUCCGGACGCAGUACAUCUAUUCUCGUCCUGGGUCACGGCCGGUCCCCUGCCGUAAAACACACCAAACUUUUUAAUGG
rnacentral:misc_RNA from 1 species